UUUUAUUUUAUUUAUUUAUUUUUUUUUUAGAGUGAACUGUACUUUAAUUCACUGGCAUUGUCAAUCUAUGAACAAGACAGGUAUUAUUUUGUUUUUUUUCCAUGAAGGGAGAUGGUUUCCAAUCUGCUAUAAUAUGUGCCCACAGCUUCACCUUGAACAUGCAGCAUUCAGUCUUCAGUGCAUCUCUGACUGCUUUUGCACAGAUCUGGGAGUAUCGGAUGUAGCUGAGUCCAGCCUGUCGCCAGUACGCCACCAUGAUGUCGCGAGAGGGGGCGCGUCGGGCCGAAUCGCGAAGACCUGUCAAUGUCGGCUCGGCGCGCGGCCCGGCUCG
ensembl:lncRNA